GGGCGAGCCCAGCUCAGCCGAGCCCGGCGCGAGUGCAGCUGGUCAAGUCGCCUGCGCUUUCACAGGAACUCACAGAAAGGGUCUCUAUUGCUCUAUACUUUGGGAAAUAUUUCUUUCUUGAUUACGUCUUGGGUCUCAAGAUGUAAAGGUGAACAUUCUCCCCCCUCAUUUGGACGGAUCCAUUCACCUCCACCAUAGAGAAUGUUGUUGUGUUUCGGCUGAACAACUCACUUCCGCCAUAGAGACUACCGGGAAGGAGAGACCUGACGGGCUCUGCGCUGCCUCCCGAGGCAAGGAAGAGUCAUCGGCGGGGAGUCCGCCCCAGCUGGGGAGACGUGGUCCUCAGAGGGCUGAGAAGUGGCACUGAUCCCCGCCAGGAGGAUCUCUGGGCCUCGACAUUCACGAAGAUGCUGGAGAAAACGGCUUAAUCUUCAAACAGCAGCACUGCUUGGUUCUCUAGAACUCUGAUGACAGUUCGUGUGAAAGACAGAAAGAGAGCAACUCCAACAGGGUCUCAACACGUGAUCCACUCCCAGCCUCACCCAGCCACAGAUCCCGGCACACCCACCCUCUGCGCUCAGAGAUGUCUCUGGAUACAAACCCGGAACCUUCCCUCAUGGGGUGACGUCUAUGUACAUGUGGAAGGAGGGUGGAAGGAGAGAGCCAGAAGAGGAUCGUGGAAAGGGGUUGCCUGGGC